UACAGGGGGUGCGAGCGUUAAUCGGAAUUACUGGGCGUAAAGCGCACGUAGGUGGCUGUGUAAGUCGGGUGUGAAAUCCCCGGGCUCAACCUGGGAACUGCAUUCGAGACUGCAUAGCUGGAGUACGGAAGAGGAGGGCGGAAUUCCACGUGUAGCGGUGAAAUGCGUAGAUAUCUGGAAGAACACCAAUGGCGAAGGCAACCUCCUGGGCCUGAAUUGACACUGAGACACGAAAGCGUGGGGAUCAAACAGG
rnacentral:rRNA from 1 species